rnacentral:misc_RNA from 1 species
GAUGAAGAACGUAGCGAAAUGCGAUAAGUAAUGUGAAUUGCAGAAUUCAGUGAAUCAUCGAAUCUUUGAACGCACAUUGCGCCCUUUGGUAUUCCGAGGGGCAUGCCUGUUCGAGCGUCAUUAUAACCCCUCAAGCUCAGCUUGGUGUUGGGGCCUGCUGCACUGGCAGCCCUUAAAAUCAGUGGCGGCGCCAUCUGGCUCUAAGCGUAGUAAUUCUUCUCGCUAUGGAGUCCUGGUGGAUGCUUGCCAUCAACCCCCAAUUUUUCUAUGGUUGACCUCGGAUCAGGUAGGGAUACCCGCUGAACUUAAGCAUAUCAAUAAGCGGAGGA